rnacentral:rRNA from 1 species
UACGUAGGGCGCAAGCGUUGUCCGGAAUUAUUGGGCGUAAAGAGCUCGUAGGCGGUCUGUCGCGUCUGGUGUGAAAUCCCAUGGCUCAACUGUGGGCUUGCAUCGGGUACGGGCAGACUAGAGUGCUGUAGGGGAGACUGGAAUUCCUGGUGUAGCGGUGGAAUGCGCAGAUAUCGGGAAGAACACCCGUGGCGAAGGCGGUUCUCUGGGACGGUACUGACGCUGAGACGCGAAAGCGUGGGGAGCGAACAGG